rnacentral:rRNA from 1 species
AGCGAACGCUGGCGGCAGGCCUAACACAUGCAAGUCGAACGAGCCCUUCGGGGUUAGUGGCGGACGGGUGAGUAACACGUGGGAACGUGCCUUUAGGUUCGGAAUAACUCAGGGAAACUUGUGCUAAUACCGAAUGUGCCCUUCGGGGGAAAGAUUUAUCGCCUUUAGAGCGGCCCGCGUCUGAUUAGCUAGUUGGUGAGGUAAUGGCUCACCAAGGCUGCGAUCAGUAGCUGGUCUGAGAGGAUGACCAGCCACAUUGGGACUGAGACACGGCCCAAACUCCUACGGGAGGCAGCAGUGGGGAAUCUUGCGCAAUGGGCGAAAGCCUGACGCAGCCAUGCCGCGUGGAUGAUGAAGGUCUUAGGAUUGUAAAAUCCUUUCACCGGUGAAGAUAAUGACUGUAGCCGGAGAAGAAGCCCCGGCUAACUUCGUGCCAGCCGCCGCCGUAAGAC